UACGAAGGGGGCUAGCGUUGCUCGGAUUUACUGGGCGUAAAGGGCGCGUAGGCGGACAGUUUAGUCAGAGGUGAAAGCCCGGGGCUCAACCUCGGAAUUGCCUUUGAUACUGGCUGUCUUGAGUAUGGAAGAGGUAUGUGGAACUCCGAGUGUAGAGGUGAAAUUCGUAGAUAUUCGGAAGAACACCAGUGGCGAAGGCGACAUACUGGUCCAUUACUGACGCUGAGGCGCGAAAGCGUGGGGAGCAAACAGUAUUAGAUACCCUGGUAGUCCACGCCGUAAACGAUGAGUGCUAGUUGUCGGCAUGCAUGCAUGUCGGUGACGCAGCUAACGCAUUAAGCACUCCGCCUGGGGAGUACGGUCGCAAGAUUAAA
rnacentral:rRNA from 1 species